rnacentral:rRNA from 1 species
GACGAACGCUGGCGGCGCGCCUAACACAUGCAAGUCGAACGAGAGAUGAGGAGCUUGCUCUUCAAAUCGAGUGGCGAACGGGUGAGUAACGCGUGAGGAACCUGCCUCAAAGAGGGGGACAACAGUUGGAAACGACUGCUAAUACCGCAUAAGCCCACGGCUCGGCAUCGAGCAGAGGGAAAAGGAGCAAUCCGCUUUGAGAUGGCCUCGCGUCCGAUUAGCUGGUUGGUGAGGUAACAGCCCACCAAGGCGACGAUCGGUAGCCGGACUGAGAGGUUGAACGGCCACAUUGGGACUGAGACACGGCCCAGACUCCUACGGGAGGCAGCAGUGGGGAAUAUUGCACAAUGGGGGAAACCCUGAUGCAGCGACGCCGCGUGGAGGAAGAAGGUCUUCGGAUUGUAAACUCCUGUUGUUGAGGAAGAUAAUGACGGUACUC